rnacentral:rRNA from 1 species
GAUGAACGCUAGCGGCAGGCUUAAUACAUGCAAGUCGAGGGGCAGCGGGGGUAGCAAUACCUGCCGGCGACCGGCAAACGGGUGCGGAACACGUACACAACCUUCCUUUAAGUGGGGGAUAGCCCAGAGAAAUUUGGAUUAAUACCCCGUAACAUUAUGAGAUGGCAUCAUUUUAUAAUUAAGGCUCCGGCGCUUGAAGAUGGGUGUGCGUCUGAUUAGGUAGUUGGUGCGGGAACGGCCCACCAAGCCAACGAUCAGUAACUGGUGUGAGAGCACGACCAGUCACACGGGCACUGAGACACGGGCCCGACUCCUACGGGAGGCAGCAGUAAGGAAUAUUGGUCAAUGGACGCAAGUCUGAACCAGCCAUGCCGCGUGGAGGAUGAA